rnacentral:rRNA from 1 species
UGCAAGUCGAGCGGACUCGCAAGAGUUAGCGGCGAACGGGUGAGUAAUACAUAUUUAACAUACCCCCCAAAAGUGCAUAGCUACCCGAAAGGGUAAUUAAUACACUAUAGGAGGCUCCGACACAAGUCGGGGUCUUUAAAGGCCUUGGCCGAUGAGGGAUUGGAAUAUGCUCUAUUAGCUUGUUGGCGGGAUAAAAGCCCACCAAGGCAAUGAUAGAUAGCUGGUCUAAGAGGAUGAACAGCCACAAUGGGAUUGAGAUACGGCCCAUAUUCCUACGGGAAGCAGCAGUAGGGAAUCUUCCACAAUGGGCGAAAGCCUGAUGGAGCGAUGCCAUGUGAACGAUGAAGGUCUUUUUGAUUGUAAAGUUCUUUUAUAGGAGAAAAUAAUGAUUGUAUCCUAUGAAUAAGUGACAGCAAACUAUGUGCCAGCAGCUGCGGUAAUACAUAGGUCGCGAGCGUUAUUCGGAUUUAUUGGGCGUAAAGCAAGCGCAGGCGGACGGACAAGUUUUGUGUUAAAAGCAGUUGCUCAACAAUUGUUUGCGCUGAAUACUGUCCGUCUAGAAUACGGUAGGAAGUUUUGGAAUUUAAUAUGGAGCGGUGGAAUGUGUAGAUAUAUUAAAGAACACCAGAGGCGAAGGCGAAAACUUAGGCCGUUAUUGACGCUUAGGCUUGAAAGUGUGGGGAGCAAAUGGGAUUAGAUACCCCAGUAGUCCACACCGUAAACGAUGGAUAUUAGAUGUUGGGACUUGCGUCUCAGCGUUGUAGCU